rnacentral:lncRNA from 10 species
CUGGUUCACAUCAUAAUGGUUCUUUUGCCAACAGGAGCUGGUAAUCAGGAUGGCAGUGAGGCAGGCACUUGCUUGCAGAAGAACAGGCCUAGUUUUUUAAGAAGCCACAAAAGUGUCUUUGGAUGAUUAGGAUCUAAGGGGCCAACAGCUUUGCAAUAACAGCAUAAAUAUUGUGGGCUGGAUGGACAGGCACCAAAUGGGGACAUUCCAUCCUGCUGUGUGAUGAGAAAGCUGCCACUUUUGAGGCCUUCCAAAACAAAUCAACACUCCAUAUGCCAGAAGGAAAAGCCCAGGAAAGACCUAUUCCAACUGGAGAUGGUGAAUGUCAUUUCUUCAAGAAGCUGAGAUCCAGCUGGUACUGCCAGGUGGAGAGAAUACGAAGGGAGAAUGAAACAAAACUGCUCCGCUUAGGGAACUUGGAAAGGAAAUUGAAAAGGCAAGGCACAGGCUGGAAGAAAAUAUUUGAAAAAGAUUUAUGUGAACUUCUUUCUGGAUUAUACAAAAUAUUUUUAGAUAUUCUUACAACUCUAAAAUAAGAUAACUCCUUAAAAAUCUAAAUUCUACCAAAGGAGAGAUAAAGAUGACGAAUACAUUCAAAGAUGCUGAAAAUCACUUAUUUAUUAUUAGGAAGUUACAAGCUAAAGCAUAAUGAGAUACCACUACAACCUACUAAACUGACUAAAAUUAAUCAGACUAACCAGGUGUUGGCAAGAAACAGGGACACUGAGACUCUCACACUGCUGGAAGGAAUGUAAAAUGCUAAAACUUCUUUGGAAAUGAGUUCAGUAACUUUUUAAACAGUUGAAAAUAGACCUAUCAUGCAAACCAGCAAUCCCACUUCCAGGUAUUUAUACAAGGAAAAUGACAACAUAUGCCCACAUAAAGACUUGUGCACAAAUGACCGUAGCAGCUUUGUGAUAAUUGCUAAAAACUAGAAACUUGUCAAGUGUCCAACAGACACAGGGUCUCCCUAUGUUGCCCAGGCUGGUAUCGAACUCUGUUGCCCAGGCUGGUAUUGAACUCCUGCGCUCAAGUGAUCCUCCUGCCUCAGCCUCCCAAAAUGCUGGGAUUACAG